CAAUAGCGUAUAUUAAAGUUGUUGCAGUUAAAAAGCUCGUAGUUGGAUCUCGGGUCCAGGCCUGUGGUUCCUUUAACCAGGACACUGCUUGCCCUGACCUACCUGCCGGUUUUCCCUUGGUGCUCUUGAUUGAGUGUCUCGGGUAGCCGGAACGUUUACUUUGAAAAAAUUAGAGUGUUCAAAGCAGGCAUUUCGCCUGAAUACUGGUGCAUGGAAUAAUAGAAUAGGACCUCGGUUCUAUUUUGUUGGUUUUUCGGAACUUGAGGUAAUGAUUAAGAGGGACGGACGGGGGCAUUCGUAUUACGGUGUUAGAGGUGAAAUUCUUGGAUCGCCGUAAGACGAACUACUGCGAAAGCAUUUGCCAAGAAUGUUUUCAUUAAUCAAGAACGAAAGUCAGAGGUU
rnacentral:rRNA from 1 species